rnacentral:lncRNA from 10 species
GUAGGUGUUGGCUUGGGGGGCGGGGGCCCUCCCUAACCCCAGCCCUGCUCUCUGGCUUUCUGGAGGUGUAUCUAGACUUCCGUGCUGCUCCCCUCGGGGCCUCUGUCUUAGCAUGUCUCUGGGGAGCUCUGACUCAGUUCUACUCUAUCUGUGGGAUGUCUCUCUCUCCCCCACUCUCUGUUUCCCUUUCUUUUUUUGUCCCCUCUCUCCAGGGCUCCUGAUUUCUCUUCAGCCUGACGCUCUUUUCAGUUAACGGCAAGGCGGUGCACCCAAGUCCGGUGGUGUCCUACCUGGUGACCUCCUACCUGUGCUGGGACGCCAGCGACUUGAUGCUGCACUCCGGGCGCAGCGAGGCGGACAUCCAAACAGCGGAACUCAGACGCUGACUCCGAGCGCACCCCGGGCCUUCCCAUUUCAUACACCCUCGAGGAUGAGACCCAAGCACCUCCAAGGAAUAGCACCCGAGGUCUUCAGGACACCGACCGGUAGCCAUGGCCAGAUGCCCGGCCAACCCCUUCAGCGUGGCCACGCCCUGGAUAUUCGACCUCCCCUGAGGCCCCACCCCCUGAUAUCAGGCCACGCCCUCCGAGGGGACCGGUGGCAAACUCCAGCCCUCGCUCUAGGGCCCGCCCUUUGCGGCUUUGUCCCUGCCCACUGGGUCCUCACAGUACCUCCACCCCAGAGGCCCAGCAUCCCCUCCCGUUCUGCAGACACUUGUCCAGCGUCCCGCUGAGCUCGGCAGUGUGGCUAGUUUGUGUGGCCCUGCCCCUGGUGCCCAGCCAGGGUGGUCUGCAUGGAACUUCUUUCCCGGAGUUCCGGCCUCAGCUCCGAUGUCCACCCUUGUCCCCAGGUGGACACAGCACCGCCCAGCAUUUGGUGCAACUCCACCCUUCUGCAGAACGGGCCCCUCCCUGGGAAGGCAUGGCUUGCAAUAACAUCCCUCUGUACCUUUUCUGGCUUCCCCGCCACAAUAAAACCUCUCAGCCUCAGACCUUCCAUUGCCCCCCACCUCCCCACCAGGGCAGGGUCCAUCCUAGUGUGAGUGAACUGUUCUGGCGUCCCUGACUUGCCCUUUGGGA